rnacentral:rRNA from 1 species
UACAGAGGUCUCAAGCGUUGUUCGGAUUCAUUGGGCGUAAAGGGAGCGUAGGCGGGCUAUCAAGUCUGGGGUGAAAUCCCGCGGCUCAACCGUGGAACUGCCUCAGAUACUGACGGCCUCGAGGGGGGUAGGGGCGCGCGGAACUUCCGGGUGGAGCGGUGAAAUGCGUAGAUAUCGGAAGGAACACCGGUGGCGAAGGCGGCGCGCUGGACCCCUUCUG